rnacentral:rRNA from 1 species
GAUGAACGCUAGCUACAGGCUUAACACAUGCAAGUCGAGGGGUAACAGGGCGUAGCAAUACGCCGCUGACGACCGGCGCACGGGUGCGUAACGCGUAUACAACCUACCUGUAACAGGGGGAUAACGGAGUGAAAACUCCACUAAUACCCCAUAUUGACGAGUCUUCGCAUGGGGGUUCGUCGAAAGCUUCGGUGGUUACGGAUGGGUAUGCGUGACAUUAGGUAGUUGGCGGGGGCAACGGCCCACCAAGCCGACGAUGUCUAGGGGAGCUGAGAGGCUAGUCCCCCACACUGGUACUGAGACACGGACCAGACUCCUACUCAGUG